rnacentral:rRNA from 1 species
CGAACGGGCUCUUCGGAGCUAGUGGCGGACGGGUGAGUAACGCGUGAGAAUCUGCUCAGGAGGGGGAUAACGACUGGAAACGGUCGCUAAUACCCAUAUGCCUACGGGUGAAAUGGUUUCGCCUGAAGAUGAGCUCGCGUCCGAUUAGCUAGUUGGUGAGGUAAGAGCUUACCAAGGCAACGAUCGGUAGCUGGUCUGAGAGGAUGAUCAGCCACACUGGGACUGAGACACGGCCCAGACUCCUACGGGAGGCAGCAGUGGGGAAUUUUCCGCAAUGGGCGCAAGCCUGACGGAGCAAGACCGCGUGCGGGAUGACGGCCUAAUGGUUGUAAACCGCUUUUCUCUGGGAAGAAGAUGACGGUACCAGAGGAAUAAGCCUCGGCUAACUCCGUGCCAGCAGCCGCGGUAAUACGGAGGAGGCAAGCGUUAUCCGGAAUUAUUGGGCGUAAAGCGUCCGUAGGUGGUUCAUCAAGUCAGCUGUUAAAGAGCGGAGCUCAACUCCGUCGGAGCGGUUGAAACUGGUGAACUAGAGUUUGGUAGGGGUCGAGGGAAUUCCCAGUGUAGCGGUGAAAUGCGUAGAUAUUGGGAAGAACACCGGUGGCGAAAGCGCUCGGCUGGGCCAAAACUGACACUGAGGGACGAAAGCUAGGGGAGCGAAAGGGAUUAGAUACCCCUGUAGUCCUAGCCGUAAACGAUGGGUACUAGGUGUUGCUCGCGAUCGACCCGAGCAGUGCCGUAGCUAACGCGUUAAAGUAUCCCGCCUGGGGAGUACGCUCGCAA